UGGAAUAUAAUAGCAAAAAUCAAAAUUCGGCAAGAGCAAUGCACAAUUAUUUUGGAGCAUCUUGAACAGAUAUAGAACCAAAAAAAUGUUCUGGAGUAUUCAUAUCAUCAAUCUCAACGGUUCUAUAUUUCAUUUAAUAGAGAACUGAAUAAGAAAUACAGCGAAAGUAAUUCAGUUAUUUGACUGCGGAGAUGCUGGAUCACCGACUUUAGUCCAACAAAACGUUCCCGGGACUUAUUCUUUAUAUUUAUUGAAGUAAUCUUUCACCAAAUGAAUAACUUUACUGCCAUAGUAACACAUACUAAAGAACAGGAUGCUGUGCUAUUUAUUGAUAACAAAGUCUAUGCCAAUAUCCCGGAAAUUAAUGGAGGCAAUCACUGUAAAGACUCUUUUGUACAACAUGAGGUGACGUCGCACUCAAAUUGCUUCGUUAGAUCGAACUCCUACAGGCAUUAUGAACCAACUAUGAAAUAUUCGCCAAACCAAACACGUAUUUGCCAGCAUCAUUGUGAAGUAUUCAUACGCAGGGAAAAUAACAUACUUCAGACUGUUAAACGUCAUUUACACAAUGAAUAUUCUUUUGCGAUAGCAAGCCAAUCACGCUCUAUUAAGCAUAUUGCAGAAAAGCUAAUCGCUUAUCGACGGAAACAGAAGUCUGGGUGUCAAACAUCCGUAGAAAUUAUCUCUUCCACUGCUAAAAAAUGUUCAUAGAUGUUCUUUCAAGCAAGAUAAAAGCAUUUUUGAGCAAUUAAUGAACAAUUUUUCGUCAUAACGCAUUUUUUUAACAAAAUUAUUUACUGAUAAUUUAGAAAAAAGCAAUUGUAAAUAAGAUUGAUGCUUGAAUCUAGAUUUUCAAACUGUUCAUUAGGAACUAAGUUGGGUCCGAUGAAACAAAAAUAUAUGCAAACAUAUUUAAACCAUGAGCAUCCCAUUUUGUUUUUCAGGAUUUCUGUUAACUGGAAUACAUUAUCUCAGUUAUAUUAUGUUCGUAUUAUCAGCCUGUCUCCCUAAAAGUUUGGGGUACUUCCUUGUAUGUGAUGUCUUGUCAGUAGUGUACCGAUAGAAUCUUUAAUUCUAGAUUACUUACAUACAUCUCGAUAAUAUGUUUGCAGCACUGGAAAAGAAUUUCUUGUUUGUGACAUAAUCAACUGAUUUUAGAGUGUAUAGACUUGCAGAAUAUUUAAUGAUUCCAAGAGAAUAAAUUCGUAGAAGGGCGUUUUGUGUCUUGUAGACAUGUUGAAUAAUAUAUUACGUGUGCAUUAAAAGAAUUUAUUUGCAAUGCUACUAGGAUCCAUGAAUUUAUAGAGUUUAAAUCAUUGCAGUGUGUGUACACAAUAGAAGCAAAUUGUAUUUUAUACAAUUUCUCCAAGGACGAAAAAGUGUUCAGCCAGACCCUAUUCAAUCUGAACCACAGUUAAUCGCAUAAAAUGUCGAGUAUACUCCUGUAUUGUUUAUGUAGAAACUCUAAGUGCUUCAGUAAAUCGGAUUGACUGAAUAGCAUAAAUUAACGUAUUCAUCUCAGAUAGGUCGAUAAAUAAAAUUCCUAGAGGAUCUAUUAGUGCUUUUACAGAUACUGUGAUUAGCUUUUAAAGAAAUCUAAACAUAUUUACCCAGCCCUAAAUCUCCCACAUUUCUUGAAGUAAUACGUAAUACCAAUAAAUUUGAGCCAGUCGCUUGUAUUUAUAGAUUUCAAAAUAUUAGUCAAUUUUUAUUGAUGAGAAAUAGAUUCCGAGAUUUGUUGAAAGUUAAAGCGUCUAAGCUAAUUAAAUCCAUGACAUUAAUAUAAAUCGUCUAAUGUAGUGUUACGUCAUCGGAGACUUCAUUUGGCGUACUCUAAUUAAUGUUACAGAAACGGGAGAGGCAAGGAAGGAUUAUUGAUGGUAUAAGGUAUCCUAAUGUAAAUAUUUUAUAACAAAUGUCAUACGGCGGCUACUCUCAAAGACAAUGUUUAUUAACAAGUCCAGCUUAUUUUUCAAUUUUUCUAGAGUUGAACGUUUACAUAUUUCACAUGAACAAACAGGAAUCAUUUCGACAUAAACUAUUAGAAUAUGUUAGCAGUGAAAAACAAAUGUUAUGACGAUACAAGAGAGGCAUCUUCCUCCAAAAUAUCAUUUUGGGCGGAAGAUGUUUUACUAUCACUAAUAUCAAAAAUAUCGAUAUGAUCCAUAAGAAAUUAUCUGUAAAAUCUGUUUUUGAAGUUGAAUUAAACUAUGACAG